rnacentral:rRNA from 1 species
UACGGAGGGAGCUAGCGUUGUUCGGAAUUACUGGGCGUAAAGCGCACGUAGGCGGCUUUUUAAGUCAGGGGUGAAAUCCCGGGGCUCAACCCCGGAACUGCCCUUGAAACUGGAGAGCUAGAAUCUUGGAGAGGCGAGUGGAAUUCCGAGUGUAGAGGUGAAAUUCGUAGAUAUUCGGAAGAACACCAGUGGCGAAGGCGACUCGCUGGACAAGUAUUGACGCUGAGGUGCGAAAAGCGUGGGGAGCAAACAGGG